AGUAAAUACAGUGUUAUCUGUUCCUAAAAGAUAAUAGUGUUCCAUGCUACAACAUACAAACCCAAAGACUCAUACGGACUUCGGCUACACCAUUAUA
rnacentral:sRNA from 1 species